rnacentral:rRNA from 1 species
UUGAAAUCUAGUACCUUCGGUGCUCGAGUUGUAAUUUGAAGGUAGUUUUCUGGUGCUGGCCCUUGUCUAUGUUCCUUGGAACAGGACGUCAUAGAGGGUGAGAAUCCCGUCUGAUGGGGUGUCCAGUGCUUUGUAGAUUUCUACCGAAGAGUCGAGUUGUUUGGGAAUGCAGCUCUAAGUGGGUGGUAAAUUCCAUCUAAAGCUAAAUACUGGCGAGAGACCGAUAGCGAACAAGUACAGUGAUGGAAAGAUGAAAAGAACUUUGAAAAGAGAGUGAAAAAGUACGUGAAAUUGUUGAAAGGGAAGGGUAUUGGAUCAGACUUGGUGUUUUGUGAUUAUCUUCCCUUCUUGGGUUGUGCACUCGCAUUUCACUGGGCCAGCAUCGGUUCGGAUGGCAAGAUAAUGGCUUGGGAACGUGGCACUCCUCGGAGUGUGUUAUAGCCCUUGUUGAUGUUGCCUAUCUGGACCGAGGACUGCGGCUUUUGCCUAGGAUGCUGGCGUAAUGAUUCAAUACCGCCCGUCUU